rnacentral:rRNA from 1 species
UCAGGACGAACGCUGGCGGCGUGCUUAACACAUGCAAGUCGAACGGAAAGGCCCUGCUUUUGUGGGGUGCUCGAGUGGCGAACGGGUGAGUAACACGUGAGUAACCUGCCCUUGACUUUGGGAUAACUUCAGGAAACUGGGGCUAAUACCGGAUAGGAGCUCCUGCUGCAUGGUGGGGGUUGGAAAGUUUCGGCGGUUGGGGAUGGACUCGCGGCUUAUCAGCUUGUUGGUGGGGUAGUGGCUUACCAAGGCUUUGACGGGUAGCCGGCCUGAGAGGGUGACCGGCCACAUUGGGACUGAGAUACGGCCCAGACUCCUACGGGAGGCAGCAGUGGGGAAUAUUGCACAAUGGGCGGAAGCCUGAUGCAGCAACGCCGCGUGCGGGAUGACGGCCUUCGGGUUGUAAACCGCUUUCGCCUGUGACGAAGCGUGAGUGACGGUAAUGGGUAAAGAAGCACCGGCUAACUACGUGCCAGCAGCCGCGGUGAUACGUAGGGUGCGAGCGUUGUCCGGAUUUAUUGGGCGUAAAGGGCUCGUAGGUGGUUGAUCGCGUCGGAAGUGUAAUCUUGGGGCUUAACCCUGAGCGUGCUUUCGAUACGGGUUGACUUGAGGAAGGUAGGGGAGAAUGGAAUUCCUGGUGGAGCGGUGGAAUGCGCAGAUAUCAGGAGGAACACCAGUGGCGAAGGCGGUUCUCUGGGCCUUUCCUGACGCUGAGGAGCGAAAGCGUGGGGAGCGAACAGGCUUAGAUACCCUGGUAGUCCACGCUGUAAACGGUGGGUACUAGGUGUGGGGUCCAUUCCACGGGUUCCGUGCCGUAGCUAACGCUUUAAGUACCCCGCCUGGGGAGUACGGCCGCAAGGCUAAAACUCAAAGGAAUUGACGGGGCCCCGCACAAGCGGCGGAGCAUGCGGAUUAAUUCGAUGCAACGCGUAGAACCUUACCUGGGUUUGACAUGGAUCGGGGGUGCUCAGAGAUGGGUGUGCCUCUUUUGGGAUCGGUUCACAGGUGGUGCAUGGCUGUCGUCAGCUCGUGUCGUGAGAUGUUGGGUUAAGUCCCGCAACGAGCGCAACCCUUGUUCACUGUUGCCAGCACGUUAUGGUGGGGACUCAGUGGAGACCGCCGGGGUCAACUCGGGGGAAGGUGGGGAUGACGUCAAGUCAUCAUGCCCCUUAUGUCCAGGGCUUCACGCAUGCUACAAUGGCUGGUACAGAGAGUGGCGAGCCUGUGAGGGUGAGCGAAUCUCGGAAAGCCGGUCUCAGUUCGGAUUGGGGUCUGCAACUCGACCUCAUGAAGUCGGAGUCGCUAGUAAUCGCAGAUCAGCAACGCUGCGGUGAAUACGUUCCCGGGGCUUGUACACACCGCCCGUCAAGUCAUGAAAGUUGGUAACACCCGAAGCCGAAGGCCUAACCGUUGUGGGGGAGCCGUCGAAG